rnacentral:lncRNA from 10 species
GUCUUUACUAAAAAUACAAAAAAAUCAGCUGGUAUGGUGGUACAUGCCUGUAAUCCCAGUUACUUGGAAGGCUGAGAUUACAGGUGUCCACUACCACACCCGGCUAAUUUUUAUGUUUUUAGUGGAGACGGGGUUUCGUCAUGUUGGCUGGGCUGGUCUCGAAAUCCUGACCUCUAGUGAUCCGCCACCUCGGCCUCCCAAAAUGCUGGGAUUACACCUGUGAGCCACCUCGCCCAGCCCAUAUCAUUUAACUUCUAAAGGCUGUAGCUACUUCAUCUAGAAAAGGAGCUUAGAUUAAAUGAUUUCCAUAUCUGUAUCAGUUUUAAAAACAGAAACAAAGUAUAUUAUUUUACAGCCUCUGACAUCAAAAGACUUUUUUAGAGUAAUGUUAGGAAGGAGAGUAAAAGCAACAUUCAUCAAGUUGCAGCUCAAAUUCCUAACAAGGGCUCUACUACCAAUCAGAUUAGAAUCACAAGUCAAGUUAGGAUACAAUUAACACUAACAAAGUAACCCAACAAACCAAAUACUUCAACUAACUAAAGUCUUUAGUGCACUAAUUUUAGAAUAAGGGGGUAAAUCACAAGAAACAUUAAAUCUCAGAAAACAUACUCUACGGUAGGGGUCUGCAAACUGUGGCCCAUCACCCAUCGACUUUUAUAAAUAAAGUUUUAUUGAACACAGCCAUGCCUAUUUGUUGACUUGUUGUCUACAGUUGCUCCUGCAUUACAAGAGCGGGGCUGAGUAGCUGUGACAGAAACCAUGGCCCGGCAGAGCCCAAAUAAUUAACUAUGUGGCUCUUUACAGAAAGUUUGCCAACUCCUGUCCUAGGAUACUAUAAAAAUACUAUAAAAAAUACCAUGAAAAAAUGCAAUAUUGGGAGUGGUUUUUAAAGUUUUGGCUAAUGUUCGCAAAAGAAUGCCCCAGAAACUAUUAAAUUAUCUCUCUCUAUAUAUAUUUUUAAAAUAUAUAAAAUAAAUAUUUAAAAUAUAUAUUUAUAUUUAUAUAAAUAGUAAUAUAUAUAAUAUAUACAGG